CUACGGGUCGCAGCAGGCGCGAAACCUUUACAAUGCACGCAAGUGCGAUAAGGGGAUCCCGAGUGCUUAUGCUUAGCAUAGGCUUUUGCCAAGACUAAAACUCUUGGCGAAUAAGUGGUGGGUAAGACUGGUGCCAGCCGCCGCGGUAACACCAGCGCCACAAGUGGCAAUCACGUUUAUUGGGCCUAAAGCGUUCGUAGCCAGUCUAGCAAAUCUUUUGUGAAAUCGUCAGGCUUAACUUGACGGAUGGCAGAAGACACUACUAGACUCGGGACCGGGAGGAGUCAGAAGUAUUCUGGGGGGACCGGUAAAAUGGUAUAAUCCCCAGAGGACUACCGAUGGCGAAGGCAUCUGACCAGAACGGAUCCGACGGUGAGGAACGAAAGCUAGGGGAGCGAACCGGAUUAGAUACCCCCGUAGUC
rnacentral:rRNA from 1 species